AUUGAACGCUGGCGGCAUGCCUUACACAUGCAAGUCGAACGGUAACAGGUCUUCGGAUGCUGACGAGUGGCGAACGGGUGAGUAAUACAUCGGAACGUGCCUAGUAGUGGGGGAUAACUACUCGAAAGAGUGGCUAAUACCGCAUGAGAUCUACGGAUGAAAGCAGGGGAUCGCAAGACCUUGUGCUACUAGAGCGGCCGAUGGCAGAUUAGGUAGUUGGUGGGAUAAAAGCUUACCAAGCCGACGAUCUGUAGCUGGUCUGAGAGGACGAUCGGCCACACUGGGACUGAUACACGGCCCAGACUCCUAAGGGAGGCAGCAGUGAGGAAUUUUGGACGAUGGGCGAAAGCCUGAUCCAGCAAUGCCGCGUGCAGGAUGAAGGCCUUCGGGUUGUAAACUGCUUUUGUACGGAACGAAAAGCCCCGGGUUAAUACCCUGGGGUCAUGACGGUACCGUAAGAAUAAGCACCGGCUAACUACGUGCCAGCAGCCGCAGUAA
rnacentral:rRNA from 1 species